CAAAGUUGUAAGUUCCUUAGGACAAAUGAAAAAUUAAACUGGGAUGUCAUUUUAUUAGGAAAGGAAAUGAAAUGAAUCAGAAAUGUAAAGAUAAAAGCAACGGCGCAAGAUGAGAAGUUACACUGGCAUGAAAUUUUAGAAAGAAAGGAACUGAAAUGAAUCAGAAACGUAGAUAUAAAAGCAUUUAACCACAAAACUAAAAAGCUUUCCAUCAAGUUCAAAGUUCUUUAGGACAAGUGAAAUAAUGCAAAAUUAAACGGGCAUGUCAUUUUAUGAUGAAAGGAUAUAAAAUGAACCAUAAAUGUAAAUAUAAAAGAUCAGUCUCACAUUUACUGUAAACAAAUUUUGUAUAGUAUCAUACUGAUUGUGUGUUUUUGAAAGCCCAAUUACAACUGUUCAGUUUUUAUUGUAUUGUAAAAAUACAAAUUUUCUUUAAUAUCUGCUAAGGAUUAACUUACUUACUUAAUUUUAACUGUUGUGUAUAUGUUUAGUACAAAUAUGUAUGCUGGGCAAUUAAUUUUGGUUAUUUAAAUAUGAUCAUUUAUCACAAGUUACCUCCAAGGUUUCUUUUCUGUUUUAAAUGUUAUCACAAUUGGUGUCAAUCUUCAAUA